rnacentral:rRNA from 1 species
CAUGCCUAACACAUGCAAGUCGAACGAGACCUUCGGGUCUAGUGGCGCACGGGUGCGUAACACGUGGGAAUUUGCCUCGGGGUAUGGAAUAACUCAGGGAAACUUGAGCUAAUACCAUAUAAUGUCUUCGGACCAAAGAUUUAUCGCCCUGAGAUAAGCCCGCGUAGGAUUAGCUAGUUGGUGAGGUAAAGGCUCACCAAGGCGACGAUCCUUAGCUGGUCUGAGAGGAUGAUCAGCCACACUGGGACUGAGACACGGCCCAGACUCCUACGGGAGGCAGCAGUGGGGGAAUAUUGGACAAUGGGCGAAAGCCUGAUCCAGCAAUGCCGCGUGAGUGAUGAAGGCCUUCGGGUUGUAAAGCUCUUUUACUCGGGACGAUAAUGACGGUACCGAGAGAAUAAGCCCCGGCUAACUCCGUG